rnacentral:rRNA from 1 species
CCCUUAGAUGUUCGGGGCCGCACGCGCGCUACACUGAAGGAAUCAGCGCGUCUUUCUCCUUGUCCGAAAGGACUGGGUAACCCGCUGAACCUCCUUCGUGCUAGGGAUUGGGGCUUGUAAUUCUUCCCCAUGAACGAGGAAUUCCUAGUAAGCGCAAGUCAACAGCUUGCGUUGAUUACGUCCCUGCCCUUUGUACACGCCGCCCGUCGCUACUACUGAUUGGAUGUUUAAGCGAGGUUCUCGAACUGCUAGCGACUUAGCUUCGGCGAGGUCGCAGUGUGGGAAGUGAACCUAGCUUUGGUGUCUAGAGGAAGUAAAAGUCGUAACA